AGUUGGUCUACACUUUUGAAAAUUCCAACUGAGGUCUUACUGUUGCUGAAUAAGGCACAUUUGUCCUCUAAAGUACAUUAGAUGAAGAACAAAGACUGAAUAGCCAUUCAUCAGAGGCUCCAUAUCAAUAAAAGUUCAAUUGAUCUAAAAAAUUCAGAAGCCUUCAAAGGUAUUUUGUACAUUAAGGCUUGUGACCAUUUUGGACAGGGGAGUGCAGAAUGCAGUUGGUGCAUCCCUGACACCAUGUGGUGCUCAGAACCACAGGAUGAUGGUGAUGGCAGUGGAACAAAGUCAGUGUGCCUGGAAACUUCACUGCCACUAAAACUCAAGUGAACAGGAAGCUCUGACAUCUAAACUAGGGAAAAAUACCAAAAAGGACAGGACCCAAAAAACAUGGAACCAUAAAAACAUAGAGAAGGCCACUCAUAAUUAGGAGAAGCAAUCAUUCAUCUCAGAACCUUAUCUCUGAC